AACUAACAAGGGAUUUCCCUAGUAACUGCGAGUGAAGCGGGAAAAGCUCAAAUUUAAAAUCUGGCGGUCUUUGACUGUCCGAGUUGUAAUUUAGAGAAGCGUCUUCCGCGCCGGACCGUGCACAAGUCUCCUGGAAUGGAGCGUCAUAGAGGGUGAGAAUCCCGUCUUUGGCAUGGAUGCCCGGUGCUUCUGUGAUGCGCUCUCGAAGAGUCGAGUUGUUUGGGAAUGCAGCUCAAAAUGGGUGGUGAACUCCAUCUAAAGCUAAAUAUUGGCGAGAGACCGAUAGCGAACAAGUACCGUGAGGGAAAGAUGAAAAGCACUUUGGAAAGAGAGUGAAACAGUACGUGAAAUUGUUGAAAGGGAAACGCUUGAAGUCAGUCGCGUCGACCGAGACUCAGCCUUGCCUUGGCUUGGUGUACUUCUCAGCACGACGGGUCAGCAUCAAUUUUGCCCCUCGGAUAAUGGCAAGGGAAAGGUGGCACCUUUACGGGUGUGUUAUAGUCUCCUGUCGCAUGCGAGGGGUGGGAUUGAGGAACUCAGCGCGCACCUCGGUGUCGGGGCUUCGGCCCACGUUACGCGCUUAGGAUGCUGGCAUAAUGGCUUUAACGAC
rnacentral:rRNA from 1 species